rnacentral:lncRNA from 1 species
AUAUUUAUUUAGAGAGUAAAGGUUUUUUGAAAGUUUUUUUUUGAAAUUAUUGUUCUCUUUCCCUCAGCCUUAAACAUCCAAAUCCAUCACAUCCUGGUGAAGGACGAGAAAUAAGAGCUCAAUUCAAAACAGAACAGGUGUGAAAAGAAUGGGAAGAACCAGGAUGUGAGAGCUCUCCGUCAUACUUCUUUCAAGGUCUUCAGGGCUUCAGCUGCCCCAGAAAGAGGAACAAAAAAGCACACUGAAAACAUUGAAAGAGAGGACUGGAGGAGAAAGAUGAAAGGAGAUGAGUAGGUGUGGGAAAAAGAGACAGAACAAGCACAGCUGUAGAGUCAGAACAGACUACAUAUUUAUUUUCUUUAAAAAGGCAUGUAAAGCUCCUCUGGGAAAGCACUGUCCACUGCCCAAGACAGCAUGCUAGAGUAGAUGGAGUGACAGCCUAAUGCAUUUAAACAACAUCUAGGUAAGAACUGAAUCCAAAGUAGAAUUUAGAAAGCAGCCCUAAAGGCACACUCACUGUUUUUUUCUCUGUUAAAAUCCAGGAAAAGAAAACCUGCUUUUGGUUAAUUCUCAGUGUUCAGAGUUUUGCACUGUAGGAGAAAUAAAUGGCUGGUAACCAAAGCUGGUAUAUGCCA